rnacentral:rRNA from 1 species
UACGUAGGGUGCGAGCGUUGUCCGGAAUUAUUGGGCGUAAAGGGCUCGUAGGCGGUUUGUCGCGUCGGGAGUGAAAACCUUGGGCUUAACUCAGGGCUUGCUUUCGAUACGGGCAGACUAGAGGUAUGCAGGGGAGAACGGAAUUCCUGGUGUAGCGGUGAAAUGCGCAGAUAUCAGGAGGAACACCGGUGGCGAAGGCGGGUCUCUGGGCAUUGCCUGACGCUGAGGAGCGAAAGUGUGGGGAGCGAACAGG